UUCAUGCUGCUGAUAAGCAUCGCCAGCGUUAAACCAGGCGCCAAAAUAAACUAAAUAAAUGAAUACAACAAAGAAAUGGGAAGAAAUUUUUUUCAAAAAUGAUAAAUGAUCAACAACAGCAAAAAUGCAAAGAAACAUAAAAUGACAAAAAGAACAGGCGACCAGUGAAAUUAUAAACAUUUGUUUAUUUAUUGCGUGCCUUAAUUUUGAUUAUUAUCGAACGUGUUGCAAAUCGGUCGUGCGACUUUCGUUUCGUAUUCCGUAUAUUCUCAUUUAGUCGACGGUUCUUUCUUCUCCUCCUCUUUCAUUUUUGGUCUCGUGCGAACACUUCAGGAUGUUAUCUGUGCAAUGAUAUGGAUCUUAUACCCUGUAAGACUGAGUGAAAUGGCUAUAAAAAAGCAGUGCGAUUGUAAAAUAUUGCCGAUUCUAAUAAAAACAAUGAGCACAAAGACAACCACAUCUGGUCUCGUAUACUCUAUCUUGCAGUUCAAAUGGGAGACCUUAAAAAAGAGUAAAAAGUCCAUAGAUCCCAGAUUCUUUACAGCACAACGAGACCAGAGUCAACCGGCAAAGACAACGAAUUGAUAAAUUGAUGACGAUUGCGGAGAAAGUCUCGCGCGCAACCGAUACGUGCCCCUCCAGCCACGACUGAGUCGACUCUAUGGACGACGACAUCGACAUCGACAACUCCAACGGCGAUGACGGACCCAGCGGCUCCAGCGACCAGCUGAGAGCUCAGACCUGAGAACUGUGAAAAGUUCAAUAAACUUUUUGUCAUUUGUUUGCAGCACGGCAACACUUGCAAUUAUGCCGAAAAUUUAGCUAAAGCAACAGCAACAACGGCAACUGCAACUGCGAAGGCAACUGCAACUACAACUAUUGCAAUUGCUUGCUGUUGCGCGUAGAGGCUGCAUACGGAAGUCUUCCAUGGGCCACAUAAGAAGCAGCUGCUGCUGCUAAAUUGUUGGUAUGGAAGUGAAAGCAUCUCCGAAAGUUGUAAAAUAUGAAUGUGCUUGGGAUCAGCAGCAACAGCAACAGCAACAGUCGCAACAACAGCAACAACAGCAGCAACAGCACCAGCAGCAGCAGCAGUAGCCCGUGUUCGUUGUCGCGCUGUGCUCGGCCAUAACCGAAUUUUGCUACGCUACACAGUCACAGCAACUGACUCUAACUAACUAACUAACAGUGCAACCUACUUUAACUAACGUCAAUUUAGUUGCACAUAGAAUUAUCAUAAAUUAAA
rnacentral:sRNA from 1 species